GAGACUCGGUGAAGUUAAGGAAGUGACCACGACACAAAACGUCCAGAGGAAGAAGACAGCAGUGUGUGGUGAAGCAUGCCCUUUGGAUCAAGAGCACUCCAAGCUGAUUUCCUUCCCAUUCCAUGUACCACACAGCUUAGGCCUGUCCACCCCCAAACUAAUCACUGUCAAGGGGAUGGAACUACCAUGAUUGGCUUGCAAUACCAGUGUGAGACAGCGUGGAUAUAGGAAAGUCAUCCACAAUCUCCACAACCACAUCCUCGAAGCUUCAUAGAGGAGAGGCUGGCCAACUGAUUCGUGUAUCACAAAGGACCAUGAUUCAGGUACCAAGCAUCUAUCUGUCAGAUGCCAGGAGCUGUGCCAUUUCCUCCAAUAGACAAUUCAAUUAAGGAGAAACUAAAACCUCGAGCAAUUGGAAAGAGCACAUGAAACCCCAGUGUUCUUUGACAUGCUGUAGAAUGACACUGUUGUUCCCAAAUAUUCUAAAUCAAUUGGGGUCCUGAACAAGAACAACACAGAGCAGCCUGCCGCCGUGAUGCCCAAAGAGAAUCAUUUUAGACCCUGAAAAUGUGAAGAAGCUGAAAACUGAACUUGGAUUUUCAUAUGUGUAAAAUGUAAUAAAAGGUGAUGAUGAUUAAUGAAACAUCAUGCUUUAAGAGGUACAAUUCUGGGCCAGCCAAGGUGGCUCAUGCCUGUAAACCCAUCACUCUAGGAGGCUGAGGCAGGCAGAUCCCUUCAGCCCAGGAGUUUGAGACCAACCUGGGCAAUAGGGCAAAGCUGUUUCCACAAAAAAUGCAAAACAUAGGCAGGCGUAGUGGCAUGGGCCUAUAGUCCCAGCUACUUGGGAGGUUGAAGUAGGAAGAUACACUG
rnacentral:lncRNA from 1 species